rnacentral:sRNA from 1 species
GCUGGGCGUGGUGGUGCGUGCCUGUAGUCCCAGAUACUCGGGAGGCUGAGGCAGGAGAUUUGCUUGAAGCCAGGAGGCGGAGGUUGCAGUGAGCUGAGAUUGCACCACUGCACUCCAACCUGGUGCCUGGCAUAUAGUAGGUGCUCAAGGAAUAAUUGAUCAGGAUGACUUUGUCUUUUCUGGGUCAGAGGCCACUUUUUUUUUUUUUUGAGACGGAGUUUCACUCUUGUUACCUGGGCUGGAGUGCAAUGGUGCAAUCUCGGCUCACAGCAACCUCCGCCUCCUGGGUUCAGGCAAUUCUCCUGCCUCAG